AAUCAAAUAACUAAUUGUUCGCCAAAUAACUACGAGUGAAAACUUAAAAUUUAAAAGACUUGACGGUGCUUCACACCAACCUAGAGGAGCCUGUCUAGUAACCGAUAAUCCACGAUUCAACCAACCCGCUCUAGCCUAACAGUCUAUAUACCGCCGUCGCCAGCUUACCUUGUGAAAGAAACAAAGUAAACUCAAUAACACCACAUUAAUACGACAGGUCGAGGUGUAACUUAUGAACGGGUAAAGAUGGGCUACAUUUUCUAAUCCAGAAAACACGGAUAAACUAUGAAACUAGAAACUGAAGACGGAUUUAGCAGUAAGCUAAGAACAGAAUGCUUAGCCGAAACUAACGCAAUGAAGUGCGCACACACCGCCCGUCAUCCCUGUAAAAAAAUAUAAAUUAUUCAUA
rnacentral:rRNA from 1 species